rnacentral:rRNA from 1 species
GGUUGCGAUCAUACCAGCACUAAUGCACCGGAUCCCAUCAGAACUCCGCAGUUAAGCGUGCUUGGGCGAGAGUAGUACUAGGAUGGGUGACCUCCUGGGAAGUCCUCGUGUUGCAACCC